GUGAGUCAUCGAAUCUUUGAACGCACCUUGCGCUCCUUGGUAUUCCGAGGAGCAUGCCUGUUUGAGUGUCAUCGAAUUCUCAACCAUUCUCUCUUUUCUGGGAGUAUGGCUUGGACUUGGGGGUUGCUGGCAGCACUGUCAGCUCUCCUUAAAUGUAUUAGCAAUCGAGUUGGCUAGUCUUUCGACGUACACGGCCUCGGACGUGAUAAUGAUCGUCGUGGCUGGAGCGUCUUUCCUAGACUAUGUACAUAGAUCGCUUCUUAAUCUGUCGUCUAUCGAGCUUAGCUACUAGGCAGUCUUUUUGGCUGGUCGAACGCAAGCGAGACAUUCACAUUCUCAGAGACUUGACCUCAAAUCAGGUAGGACUACCCGCUGAACUUAAGCAUAUCAAUAAGCGGAGG
rnacentral:rRNA from 1 species